AGAUCCUAUUUUAUCUGGGUUGCUAACUCAAUGGUAGGAAUUAUCUACUCCAUCCGACUAGUUCCGGGUUCG
rnacentral:tRNA from 1 species